CAUGAAGCUGGAAUCGCUAGUAAUCGCGGAUCAGAAUGCCGCGGUGAAUACGUUCCCGGGUCUUGUACACACCGCCCGUCACACCAUGGGAGUUGGAAAUGCCCGAAGUCUGUGACCCAACCUACGGGAGGGAGCAGCCGAAGGCAGGUCGGAUGACUGGGGUGAAGUCGUAACAAGGUAGC
rnacentral:rRNA from 1 species